rnacentral:rRNA from 1 species
UACAGAGGUCUCAAGCGUUGUUCGGAUUCAUUGGGCGUAAAGAGCUCGUAGGCGGCCUGUUGCGUCCGCUGUGAAAUCCCGGGGCUUAACCCCGGGCCUGCAGUGGAUACGGGCAGGCUGGAGGCAGGGCAGGGGAGAACGGAAUUCCCGGUGUAGCGGUGAAAUGCGCAGAUAUCGGGAGGAACACCGGUGGCGAAGGCGGUUCUCUGGGCCU